rnacentral:rRNA from 1 species
AGCCGCGGUAAUUCCAGCUCCAAUAGCGUAUAUUAAAGUUGUUGCAGUUAAAAAGCUCGUAGUCGGAUUUCGGGGCCUGCCGAGCGGUCUGCCGAUGGGUAUGCACUGUUCGGCGCGUCCUUCUUUCCGGAGACUCAUUCUACUCUUAACUGAGCGGAAUUGGGAGACGGAUCGUUUACUUUGAAAAAAUCAGAGUGUUUCAAGCAGGCAGCUCGCUCUUGCAUGGAUUAGCAUGGGAUAAUGAAAUAGGACUCUGGUGCUAUUUUGUUGGUUUCGAACACCGGAGUAAUGAUUAACAGGGACAGUCAGGGGCACUCGUAUUCCGUCGAGAGAGGUGAAAUUCUCAGACCAAUGGAAGACGAACCACUGCGAAAGCAUUUGCCAGGGAUGUUUUCACUGAUCAAGAACGAAAGUUAGGGGAUCGAAGACGAUCAGAUACCGUCGUAGUCUUAACCAUAAACCAUGCCGACUAGGGAUUGGAGGGUGUUCUAUUCGACCCCUUCAGCACCUUACGGGAAACUAAAGUCUUUGGGUUCCGGGGGGAGUAUGGUCGCAAGGCUGAAACUUAAAGGAAUUGACGGAAGGGCACCACCAGGAGUGGAGCCUGCGGCUUAAUUUGACUCAACACGGGGAAACUUACCAGGUCCAGACAUUGUUAGGAUUGACAGAUUGAGAGCUCUUUCUUGAUUCGAUGGGUGGUGGUGCAUGGCCGUUCUUA